rnacentral:ncRNA from 1 species
AUGUGGAAGCGGCGUCGCUCAACGGAUAAAAGGUACCCCGGGGAUAACAGGCUGAUCUUCCCCAAGAGUCCAUAUCGACGGGAUGGUUUGGCACCUCGAUGUCGGCUCGUCGCAUCCUGGGGCUGGAGUAGGUCCCAAGGGUUGGGCUGUUCGCCCAUUAAAGCGGCACGCGAGCUGGGUUUAGAACGUCGUGAGACAGUUCGGUCCCUAUCCGCCGCGCGCGAGGAAACUUGAGAAAGGCUGUCCCUAGUACGAGAGGACCGGGAUGGACGAACCUCUGGUGUGCCAGUUGUCCCGCCAGGGGCACGGCUGGUUGGCUACGUUCGGGAGUGAUAACCGCUGAAUGCAUCUAAGCGGGAAGCACGUUUCAAGAUGAGGUUUCCCACCACGAGAGUGGUAAGGCCCCCAGCAGACCACUGGGUUGAUAGGCCGGAGGUGUACAGCAGUGAUGCCCAGCCGACCGGUACUAAUAGGCCGAGGCUUGCCACC